rnacentral:tRNA from 1 species
GGAGAGGUGCUGGAGUGGACGAACAGGCUGCACUGGAAAUGCAGUGUAGGGGUGACUCUACCGUGGGUUCGAAUCCCACCCUCUCCGCCA